UCGGGAAUUUUGGGCAAUGGGCGAAAGCCUGACCCAGCAACGCCGCGUGAAGGAUGAAAUCCCUCGGGAUGUAAACUUCGCAAGAAUGGGAAGAAUUAGUAGGGGUUAAUACCCCCUAUGAUGACGGUACCAUUUGUAAGCUCCGGCUAACUCCGUGCCAGCAGCCGCGGUAAUACGGGGGGAGCAAGCGUUGUUCGGAUUUACUGGGCGUAAAGGGCGCGUAGGCGGUCAGCACAAGUCAGUUGUGAAAUCUCCGGGCUUAACUCGGAAAGGUCAACUGAUACUGUGCGACUAGAGUGCGGAAGGGGCAACUGGAAUUCUCGGUGUAGCGGUGAAAUGCGUAGAUAUCGAGAGGAACACCUGCGGCGAAGGCGGGUUGCUGGGCCGACACUGACGCUGAUGCGCGAAAGCCAGGGGAGCGAACGGGAUUAGAUACCCCCGUAGUCC
rnacentral:rRNA from 1 species